rnacentral:rRNA from 1 species
UACGUAGGGUGCGAGCGUUGUCCGGAAUUAUUGGGCGUAAAAGGGCUCGUAGGCGGUUUGUCGCGUCGGGAGUGAAAUCCACUGGCUUAACUGGUGGCUUGCUUUCGAUACGGGCAGACUGGAGGUAUGCAGGGGAGAACGGAAAUUCCUGGUGUAGCGGUGAAAUGCGCAGAUAUCAGGAGGAACACCGGUGGCGAAGGCGGUCUCUGGGCAUGUCCUGACGCUGAGGAGCGAAAGUGUGGGGAGCGAACAGG